CUGCGAUUUGUAACAAAACAUUUUUCUCUUUAUUAAAGGACAAUAACAAAAACUUUGAAGGCUUUGUCCAAAAAAAAAAAAAAAACAAAAAAAAAAAAACAAAUACUUUGAAGGCCAAAACCAGCAUAUCUGAUAUCUGUAUAUAUGUUUGUAAUCUCAUGAACCAUGUGAAUCCAUCAUAGUAAUAUGCAAAUCAGACAACCACUUUCCCAAUCCUCUCGCAUGUGUGCAUGCGUGUAGUAUAUUUACGAAUCAUAACCCAGUUGUUGCAUAGUUACGACCGUUAACGAAAUCUGCCGCUGAUUCUGAAGCUCAACUUUUUAUCGUAAAGCUGUUAAUCUCGAGGAAGUUCUCAAGUGUUUGAUAUUCACCGUCCGAUUAGAUUCCUGGUAGAUUUUCUCUGCGACAAACAAAUAAAUUAGCCUCCACUUACUUUAAUUUGUUCAUUUCAAGAAACAAAGAUUCGUGUGGCUAAAAAUGGCCUUAUUAUCCUCGUCUCACCUCCUACUCCUAUGCUCACUUUCUGUUGCUGACGAUGCUCUGAUGAACAACUUGUGUUUUUUU
rnacentral:lncRNA from 1 species